CUUGGUUCAACUCCAAUAGCCACCUUAGAUCUCUUAUUAAGAGCUAUUAACUGGAAAAUAAUUGCAUAAUAGCCUUCCUAUGAUAAUUCCAAAUUUGUUUGUAUUCCAGAAUUUCUUUCUAGAAUGCUCCAAAAUUCCCAUCUCUGAACUUAUGAAGUCUUCCCUAGAAUCUGCAAAUUCUCAAAGUCUUUAGAGACUCACUGGUCACUUGCUGGACAGGGGUUCUGUAAAAGGAUUCUGGGGAGUUUGACUCAGUGUUCAACAAAGGCCCUUCCAAAGUUUUAGGGUCUGAUUCUGGGAUUCCCAAGGGGACCUGGAGCCUUUCUCACAUCUUCCUUGUGGAAGAGCACCUGCUUCAUCCUCUGUUGCAACACAAAGAACCAUUGUGAAGCUCCAUGGUGAGUUUCCGUGAGUUUAUUCCACCACGUGUGGCUCAGGCAGGCAUGGAUUUACAGGUAUGUCUGUGCUAUGUUUCAUAUUCAAAUGUAUAGUUCCAACUGUUUACUUUAUCAGCUGUACUCUUUGUCUUCCUUGUGUUCUGUCAAGCAUCAAAUCCAGUGUCAUCUCUGUGUGGGUACCCUGCAAAUGCUAAUUGGUGGUGACAAAAUAAUGAUGUUGACUGAUGAAUCAUUUGGCCCCAUAAAACUGAUGAAUCAUUUGGUUGGAGAGUCCCAGGUUCAGCAGUUACGUAAUGUGGCUUCACCAAACAGUGAGAACAAAAGGAGACAAGAUUCCAGGAGAAGAUGCUCAGCUUCUCUCAAAUCCAAAAGAUGCAAAUUAAAACAAUCCUUCCUGACGACAUGUCUGAAUGAAAGCCAGAUGGAGUCUCUCAAGCUGGAGUGCAGCGGCGUGAUCUUGGCUCACUGCAACCUCUGCCUCCCGGGUUCAAGUGAUUCUUCCAGCUCAGCCUCCCAAGUAGCUGGGAUUACAGUGUACUUGCUGAAAUAUGACUUCAUUUAUGACAUUUCCAACUCAUCAACCGUGUCAGCUGGGGACAGAGUUAAAAUAACUUUUAAAAACUGAACUUCAGACAAAUGUGCUUGGCUCUGGGAAAUCUUAGAAAGUUUUAGCAUAUUAAGCAGAAGCCUGCGUUGCUUUUUUUCUUACAUGCUUGAUAGUAUGAAUAUUUAUCUGGAAUUUUAUUUUGUGCUGGUUAUUAUAUGAAGUGUGUACUGUCCUCAUCAAAGAGUGCUUUAUAUAGAAAUAAUUCAGGUCAAAACAUCCUCUUUCUUAUAUGAGUCUUCUUCAAGGGCCAAGUUAAUAAAAUUAAUAGACUGAACCUUGUAACUCUUAAACAUUUACAUUUAAAUUAGUGACAUAAGAU
rnacentral:lncRNA from 1 species